GACGAACGCUGGCGGCGUGCCUAAUACAUGCAAGUCGAACGCAGUGGGGACGGGUGAGUAACACGGGGGUAACCUCCCAUCAGAGGGGAUAACACUUGGAAACAGGUGCUAAACGGAUACGGCUGGAUGGACCCGCUGUGCAUUAGCUAGGUGGUGAGGUAACGGCUCACCAAGGCCACGAUGCAUAGCCGGCCCACGGGGGUGUUCGGACAGACUGUGACGGGGAGCGGGACCAGACUCUUACGGACGGCGGGAGUGGUGAAUGUUCGGCGAUGGAAGAAAGUCUGCCCGAACCACACCGGGUGAGUCAAGAAAAUUUUCAGGUCAUAGGACUCUGUUGUUAGAAAAACGGUAUCUAACCAGUAAGCCGCGGCUAACUACGUUCCAGCAGCCGCGGUAAUUC
rnacentral:rRNA from 1 species